rnacentral:misc_RNA from 1 species
GAUGAAGAACGUAGCAAAAUGCGAUAAGUAAUGUGAAUUGCAGAAUUCAGUGAAUCAUCGAAUCUUUGAACGCACAUUGCGCCCGCCAGUAUUCUGGCGGGCAUGCCUGUUCGAGCGUCAUUUCAACCCUCUAGCACAGCUUGGUGUUGGGACUCGCGUUAAUUCGCGUUCCCCAAAUUGAUUGGCGGUCACGUCGAGCUUCCAUAGCGUAGUAGUAAAACCCUCGUUACUGGUAAUCGUCGCGGCCACGCCGUUAAACCCCAACUUCUGAAUGUUGACCUCGGAUCAGGUAGGAAUACCCGCUGAACUUAAGCAUAUCAAUAAGCGGAGGA